rnacentral:rRNA from 1 species
GCGUUCCUACGGGGCGCAGCAGUCGGGAAUAUUGCGCAAUGGAGGAAACUCUGACGCAGUGACGCCGCGUAUAGGAAGAAGGUUUUCGGAUUGUAAACUAUUGUCGUGAGGGAAGAAGAUGACAGUACCUCAGGAGGAAGCUCCGGCUAACUAUGUGCCAGCAGCCGCGGUAAUACAUAGGGAGCAAGCGUUAUCCGGAAUUACUGGGUGUAAAGGGAGCGUAGACGGCUGUGCAAGUCUGGAGUGAAAGGCGGGGGCCCAACCCCCGGACUGCUCUGGAAACUGUAUGGCU